rnacentral:tRNA from 1 species
AAAUAAGAAGCGAUAAAUUGCUCUCAGUUUCGACCUGAACUUAGGUGUCUACACCCUUAUUUA